rnacentral:rRNA from 1 species
AUUGAACGCUGGCGGCAGGCCUAACACAUGCAAGUCGAACGAGUGGCGGACGGGUGAGUAUUGUCUGGGAAACUGCCUGAUGGAGGGGGAUAAUUACUGGAAACGGUAGCUAAUACCGCAUACCAUCAGAUGUGCCCAGAUGGGAUUAGCUAGUUGGUGGGGUAACGGCUCACCAAGGCGACGAUCCCUAGCUGGUCUGGGAGGAUGGCCGGCCACACUGAAGCUGAGGCACGGUCCGGACUACUGCGGUAGGCAGUCGUGGGGAAUAUUGCACAAUGGACGCAAGCCUGAUACAGCCAUUCCGCGUGUAUGAAGAAGGCAUUCGGGUUGUAAAGUACUUUCAGCGGGGGGGCGUUACCCGCAGAAGAAGCACCGGCUAACUCCGUGCCAGCAGCCGCGGUAAUUC